ACGUAUAACAGACCGUUGCUACGUAUAACAGACCGUUGCUACGUAUAACAGACCGUUGCUAUGCAUAGCAGACUGUUGCUAUGGGCGCAGUUCUGAUGUCGGACUGUUUUUGUGUCAAAUUAUUGAUUCGUCAAGUAAGCAGUCGUGUAGUAAGCGGAAAAAUGUACAGCAAGCGGGUUGUUGUUGUUAAAUAAAAGAAAGAAAUUGCUCUGUCCUAUAUCAGGAUAGAAGAUUUUGACCAUAUCGCCCAGCCCUAGUAGUAACAUGUUUCCAUCACUGCAUUCAUCUUAACAAUCUCAAUAAAAGCCAGAAGACAAAACAUAUAGUUUAUGAUUAGAUCUAUUCAUGCUCUUGAAACACCUGAAAUGAUUGGUUUGUUUAAGGAAAAUGACUAACUAUUUUGAUAAUUGAUUAAUUGUUACAAAUUUGCUGCCUUUCUUUGUCAGACGAUUGUAAAUUUAAUUUCUUUGGGUUGUGGAUAGUUGGUCAAACAAAACUUUUUUUCACUCCUGAGUAAAAUAUUAAUCAUUUGAUCAAUAAAAUAAUUAAACGAUUAAUCACUAGUUAAAAUAAGCAUUAGUAGCGUCCCUAAACACUACUGUAUUAUUGGGAAUAUCUUAUGCAGAGCAGGGCGAUUUGGAAAAAAUAUGACAUAUAUAUAUUAUAUACUAUAACAUGCAGUUACAUUUCUCAAAAUCAAUGCUUAUUCUCCUAAAUGCUUAUUUUUAUAAUAAAUUCAUAAUAAAAAAAAGAUGCCAACUAAUCUAGCAUAAUACAGUUUACCAUGACUUUACCUGCCCACGUUCUACCCUGCCAACCAUUUACUGUAUUUAUCAAUGUUUAAAUAUGGCUGCUUGUGUCAAAUAGUACGUUCCCACUCAAGUCCAGCAAACAGGAGUCACUUAAAACACGUCUCUUUACUUCACCCCUCACCUUCUCUCUCCCUACCCCACCUCUUUAUCUCAUCACCUUACUUUAUCCCUCCCUACCCCACCUCUUUAUCUCAUCACCUUACUUUAUCCCUCCCUACCCCACCUCUUUAUCUCAUCACCUCACACUGCUGCAGCUCUAAAUCUGGGUUCUUCUAAUGAUGAUCAUUCCAGAAAAUGAGGAUAGCCUUUUUAACUUUUGCACAUAAAGAGAAAAGCCGGUGUACACUUAUACAGAUUAUACCCUCGACCCUUAAUAGGCACUGUUUUCAGAGCAAUUUUAGGUCAGCAUUUGGUACUGGAACAAUCUUGUAUCCUUUCUCGACAACUAUGGAGAUAUUAUACUACAUCUUCCCAACAACAUUAGUUUUUUUCAAACACAGUGCUCUUAGUUCAUUGUAUGGUUUAAACUCAUAUGGAUGAAUUUAAAGCUCAGUUGUUGAUGAAAGCCACUGUAACAGUCUUGGACAUAUUACCUCUAUGACUCAUGUGUUGUUCCAGAUUCCACAAAAGCCACAUCGUUACCCCUCUCUGUCUUGCUAAACUUGAUAUUUAGUGUGUUCAUUUCUUUGUCAUGUUGCAGUUUUCUUGAAUUUCCUAUGUGAAAAAAAGGCUAUUUAUUUUUGUUUAUCAAAAAAAAAAAAAGUUACUGAACAUGCUGUGCAUUGCCAGGUUUUGUAAAUAUUUUGUAAGAAGUGUUUCUUUUUUCUUUUACUCUUUCAGAAAAAAACAACUUUUGCUGUGUCUUUUAAGUGCAUCUGUGUAAUAAAGAGUGGAAUCCGA